rnacentral:rRNA from 1 species
CGGUGUCUUGGGUGGCUAGCGAGUUUACUUUGAAAAAAUUAGAGUGCUUAACACAGGCUAACGCCUGAAUACUCGUGCAUGGAAUAAUAGAAUAAGACCACGGNUCUAGAUCGGUGCGCGGUAUUUGGNGUAGCUGUGUGUGCACACUUUUUAUUUCAAGUNUCAUUGCACCCACANACCACCUACUGU